GUGGGGAAUCUUGCACAAUGGGCGGAAGCCUGAUGCAGCGACGCCGCGUGGGGGACGAAUGCCCUCGGGUUGUAAACCCCUUUCGGCAGGGAAGAAGCGCAAGUGACGGUACCUGCAGAAGAAGCUCCGGCUAACUACGUGCCAGCAGCCGCGGUAAGACGUAGGGAGCGAGCGUUGUCCGGAUUCAUUGGGCGUAAAGCGCGCGUAGGCGGUUUGGCAAGUCGGAUGUGAAAUCCCGAGGCUCAACCUCGUGACUGCAUCCGAUACUGCCCGACUAGAGGUAGGUAGGGGAGAUCGGAAUUCCUGGUGUAGCGGUGAAAUGCGCAGAUAUCAGGAGGAACACCGGUGGCGAAGGCGGAUCUCUGGGCCUGACCUGACGCUGAGGCGCGAAAGCUAGGGGAGCGAACAGGAUUAGAUACCCUGGUAGUCC
rnacentral:rRNA from 1 species